AGAUUGAACGCUGGCGGCAGGCCUAACACAUGCAAGUCGAGCGGAAACGAGUUAUCUGAACCUUCGGGGAACGAUAACGGCGUCGAGCGGCGGACGGGUGAGUAAUGCCUAGGAAAUUGCCCUGAUGUGGGGGAUAACCAUUGGAAACGAUGGCUAAUACCGCAUAAUGCCUACGGGCCAAAGAGGGGGACCUUCGGGCCUCUCGCGUCAGGAUAUGCCUAGGUGGGAUUAGCUAGUUGGUGAGGUAAGGGCUCACCAAGGCGACGAUCCCUAGCUGGUCUGAGAGGAUGAUCAGCCACACUGGAACUGAGACACGGUCCAGACUCCUACGGGAGGCAGCAGUGGGGAAUAUUGCACAAUGGGCGCAAGCCUGAUGCAGCCAUGCCGCGUGUGUGAAGAAGGCCUUCGGGUUGUAAAGCACUUUCAGUCGUGAGGAAGGUAGUGUAGUUAAUAGCUGCAUUAUUUGACGUUAGCGACAGAAGAAGCACCGGCUAAU
rnacentral:rRNA from 1 species